rnacentral:lncRNA from 10 species
GCUUCCUCCAGACCACGCCCACCGAUGCCGGCAGCAGCUGGUGCAGCGGAGCUCAGAUCCUCUCUGUGGGGUCUGCACCGGCAAGGGCAGCUGCUCCCUGCCUUUCCUCAGGAGUCAGUGGAGAUGAAUUUUCUCUGAUUGUCAGAUGUUCACAAAGGCUUUAACUUGUAUGAAUGAACUCCGAGACCACCUUUCUGAAUGCACAGACCUGCCACGUUGUUGCUGUAGAAGAAUGGAGACAAGAUGAUUCCAACUUAAAGGAAACUGGAAGUAUUCUGAGGAAACAAAUAGAGAAGUUCUGUGACCCAUGUUUUGGUGAAGUAAUGAUGACACAGGGAUACCCUGCCUCAUGAACGCUGGUGUGACUUCUCUCUUCUGUUCUUACCACUGGACAUGAUGGCUUGAUGAAGUCAGGCCACCUCGCUCUUCUAUGCUCUCAGUUCCAUCUUCUCAACUCGGAAAGCCUGCCAAGCUCCCCUUUACCUUCUGCUAUUGAGUGGAAGCAGCCUGAGGCCCUCAAAAGAUGCAGAUGCCGGCACCGUGUUUCUUGCACAGCCUGCAGAAUCAUAAGGUUUAGACAUAUGCACCAGU